AGUGAACGCUGGCGGUAGGCCUAACACAUGCAAGUCGAACGGCAGCACAGUAAGAGCUUGCUCUUACGGGUGGCGAGUGGCGGACGGGUGAGGAAUACAUCGGAAUCUACUUUUUCGUGGGGGAUAACGUAGGGAAACUUACGCUAAUACCGCAUACGACCUAUGGGUGAAAGCAGGGGAUCUUCGGACCUUGCGCGAUUGAAUGAGCCGAUGUCGGAUUAGCUAGUUGGCGGGGUAAAGGCCCACGAAGGCGACGAUCGGUAGCUGGUCUGAGAGGAUGGUCGCCCACCUGGGAGGGGGGACGCGGUCCAUGCUCCUGAGGGAGGGACCAGUGGGGAAUGUGGGACAACGGGGGCAAGCCUGGUCCAGCCAGCCCGCGUGGGAGAAAAAGGCCUUGGGUUUGUAAUGCCGUUUUUUGGGGAAAGAAAAGCUGCAGGUUAUUACCCCGCGGUUGUGACGGUACCCAAAGAAUAAGCACCGGCUAACUUCGUG
rnacentral:rRNA from 1 species